AUUGAACGCUGGCGGCAGGCCUAACACAUGCAAGUCGAGCGCGCGGCGGAAGCGUGAGUAAUGUAUGGGGACUGCCCGAUAGAGGGGGAUAACAACUGUAAACGGUGUCUCAUACCGCAUACAGUCGCAUUACCCAUAUGGGAUUAGCUAGUAGGUAAGGUAAAGGCUUACCUAGGCGACGAUCCCUAGCGGGUCUGAGAGGAUGAUCAGCCACACUGGGACUGAGACACGGCCCAGACUCCUACGGAGGCAGCAGUGGGGAAUAUUGCACAAUGGGCGCAAGCCUGAUACAGCCAUGCCGCGUGUAUGAAGAAGGCCGUAGGGUUGUAAAGUACUUUCAGUGGGGAGGCGUUACCGGCAGAAGAAGCACCGGCUAACUCCGUGCCAGCAGCCGCGGUAAUAC
rnacentral:rRNA from 1 species